AACUUUCGGCAAUGGAUCUCUUGGCUCUCGCAUCGAUGAAGAACACAGCGAAAUGUGAUAAGUAAUGUGAAUUGCAGAAUGCAGUGAAUCAUCGAAUCUUUGAACGCAUCUUGCGCUCCUUGGUAUUCUGAGGAGCAUGCCUGUUUGAGUGUCAUUAAAUUCUCAACCACACUAAUUUUUAUUGGUGUGGCUUGGAUUAUGGGGUUUCUGCAGGCUUUAAAACCAGCUUCCCUGAAAUGCAUUAGUGGUAUCUGAGCAGACUACAGGUGUGAUAACUAUCUAUGCCUUUGCUGAAAACAGAUUACACUGCUUCAAACAACAAACUAUUGUUUUUGUUUGACCUCAAAUCAGGUAGGACUACCCGCUGAACUUAAGCAAUCAAUAAGCGGAGGCU
rnacentral:misc_RNA from 1 species